GCGUUGUUCGGAAUCACUGGGCGUAAAGAAUGCGUAGGCGGCUUGACAAGUCAGGAGUGAAAUCCCAGGGCUUAACCCUGGAACUGCUCUUGAAACUGUUAAGCUAGAGUCCCGGAGGGGUUGGCGGAAUUCCGAGUGUAGAGGUGAAAUUCGCAGAUAUUCGGAGGAACACCAGUGGCGUAGGCGGCCAACUGGACGGGAACUGACGCUGAGGCAUGAAAGUGUGGGGAGCAAACAGGAUUAGAUACCCUGGUAGUCCACACCGUAAACGAUGUGUGCUAGUUGUCAGGCAGCGCUGUUGCUUGGUGACGGAGCUAACGUUUUAAGCACACCGCCUGGGAAGUACGGCCGCAAGGUUAAAACUCAAAGGAAUUGACGGGGACCCGCACAAGCGGUGGAACAUGUCCUUUAAUUCGUAGCAACGCGAAGAACCUUACCUACCCUUGACAUGCCAGUUGGGAUUUCCAGAGAUGGAUUUCUUCAUUUAGUUGGACUGGACACAGGUGCUGCAUGGCUGUCGUCAGCUCGUGUCGUGAGAUGUUGGGUUAAGUCCCGCAACGAGCGCAACCCUUGUCGUCUGUUGCUACCAUUUAGUUGAGCACUCAGAUGAGACUGCCGGUGACAAGCCGGAGGAAGGUGGGGAUGACGUCAAGUCAUCAUGGCCCUUACGGGUAGGGCUAGAGACGUGUUACAAUGGUGGUGACAGUGGGUCGCAAGGUCGCGAGGCCAAGCUAAUCUCAAAAAGCCAUCUCAGUUCGGAUUGUACUCUGCAACUCGAGUACAUGAAGUUGGAAUCGCUAGUAAUCGUAGAUCAGCACGCUACGGUGAAUACGUUCCCGGGUCUUGUACACACCGCCCGUCAAGUCAUGGGAGUCGGUUCUGCCUGAAGGUAGUGCGCUAACCGCAAGGAGGCAGCUAACCACGGUAGG
rnacentral:rRNA from 1 species